UACGUAGGGUGCAAGCGUUAAUCGGAAUUACUGGGCGUAAAGCGUGCGCAGGCGGUUGUGCAAGACAGAUGUGAAAUCCCCGGGCUCAACCUGGGAAUUGCAUUUGUGACUGCACGGCUAGAGUGUGUCAGAGGGGGGUAGAAUUCCACGUGUGAGCAGUGAAAUGCGUAGAGAUGUGGAGAAUACCGAUGGCGAAGGCAGCCCCCUGGGAUAACACUGACGCCUGCA
rnacentral:rRNA from 1 species